AAGCCCGGGGCUCAACCUCGGAACCGCAUUUGAAACUGGCAGGCUAGAGUCUUGUAGAGGGGGGUAGAAUUUCAGGUGUAGCGGUGAAAUGCGUAGAGAUCUGAAGGAAUACCAGUGGCGAAGGCGGCCCCCUGGACAAAGACUGACGCUCAGAUGCGAAAGCGUGGGUAGCAAACAGGAUUAGAUACCCUGGUAGUCCACGCCGUAAACGCUGUCUACUUGGAGGUUGAGGUUUUAGACUUUGGCUUUCGGCGCUAACGCAUUAAGUAGACCGCCUGGGGAGUACGGCCGCAAGGUUAAAACUCAAAUGAAUUGACGGGGGCCCGCACAAGCGGUGGAGCAUGUGGUUUAAUUCGAUGCAACGCGAAGAACCUUACCUACUCUUGACAUCCAGCGAAGCCUUUAGAGAUAGAGGCGUGCCUUCGGGAGCGCUGAGACAGGUGCUGCAUGGCUGUCGUCAGCUCGUGUUGUGAAAUGUUGGGUUAAGUCCCGCAACGAGCGCAACCCUUAUCCUUGUUUGCCAGCACGUAAUGGUGGGAACUCCAGGGAGACUGCCGGUGAUAAACCGGAGGAAGGUGGGGACGACGUCAAGUCAUCAUGGCCCUUACGAGUAGGGCUACACACGUGCUACAAUGGCAGAUACAGAGGGCAGCGAAGCUGCGAAGUGGAGCGAAUCCCUUAAAGUCUGUCGUAGUCCGGAUUGGAGUCUGCAACUCGACUCCAUGAAGUCGGAAUCGCUAGUAAUCGUGGAUCAGAAUGCCACGGUGAAUACGUUCCCGGGCCUUGUACACACCGCCCGU
rnacentral:rRNA from 1 species